rnacentral:rRNA from 1 species
GUCUAUGGCCAUGCUACCCUGAACAAGCCCGAUCCCAUCUGAUCUCAGAAGCUAAGCAGGAUGGGGCCUGGUUAGUACUUGGAUGGGAGACCACCUAAGACCAGAUUCUGUAGGCA